rnacentral:rRNA from 1 species
AGAGUUUGAUCCUGGCUCAGGACGAACGCUGGCGGCGUGCCUAACACAUGCAAGUCGAGCGAUGAAAUCCCUUCGGGGAUGGAUUAGCGGCGGACGGGUGAGUAACACGUGGGUAACCUGCCUCAAAGAGGGGGAUAGCCUCCCGAAAGGGAGAUUAAUACCGCAUAAUAUUAGUUUUUCGCAUGAAGAACUAAUUAAAGGAGUAAUCCGCUUUGAGAUGGACCCGCGGCGCAUUAGCUAGUUGGUGAGGUAAAGGCUCACCAAGGCGACGAUGCGUAGCCGACCUGAGAGGGUGAUCGGCCACAUUGGAACUGAGACACGGUCCAGACUCCUACGGGAGGCAGCAGUGGGGAAUAUUGCACAAUGGGCGAAAGCCUGAUGCAGCAACGCCGCGUGAGUGAUGAAGGCCUUCGGGUUGUAAAGCUCUGUCUUUUGGGACGAUAAUGACGGUACCAAAGGAGGAAGCCACGGCUAACUACGUGCCAGCAGCCGCGGUAAUACGUAGGUGGCGAGCGUUGUCCGGAUUUACUGGGCGUAAAGGAUGCGUAGGCGGAUAUUUAAGUGAGAUGUGAAAUACCCGGGCUUAACUUGGGUGCUGCAUUUCAAACUGGAUAUCUAGAGUGCGGGAGAGGAGAAUGGAAUUCCUAGUGUAGCGGUGAAAUGCGUAGAGAUUAGGAAGAACACCAGUGGCGAAGGCGAUUCUCUGGACCGUAACUGACGCUGAGGCAUGAAAGCGUGGGUAGCAAACAGGAUUAGAUACCCUGGUAGUCCACGCCGUAAACGAUGAGUACUAGGUGUAGG